ensembl:lincRNA BC028471 cDNA sequence BC028471
GAUACACUGAGCUAUGGGACUUGCUCAGACUCUCCUCCCGUUAGGCAGCAGAAUCUAAUAAGAAACAGACAGUACACAAUGAAGUCAUCAAGAUCUGGUGUCUGGUGCAAGUAAGACUCGCCCCACAGGAGCUGGGGUCGUGGAAACAGAAGUGAAGAAAUUGAGACAUGGAAACGCAGGAUAACACCCCGUGUCCAUUCUCAGAAAGACUGUUCUCUGGGAUGUUCCCUAAGGUUCUGCGUGACUCACUCAUCUCCGUGGAGUCUGGCUGUGUGGUUGUUCCUCUUCGAGGCAGGGCCGGGGCUCUUCCUGCCUUACCCUAGCACGACAGCGAAUAUGUGCUCUGCCUGCUAGCUCACUGUUGUUUGUGCUGGAAAGAACCCGGGCCCAGCCCAGAGCCACGUUGCAGGGCUCAGGACUGCUCUGAAACACUGCCACCUAGUGGCGUGAUGAGGGUUGUAGCUCAGGAAUCCUGGGAGAAGCAUGGAAGAAUCUUCUAGCAUGUGGGGACUCUCGGGAC